UAGUGUGGGGAACAUGCCUCUGUCAGGACAAGAAUGUUUCUUUGUUUUACGAGUAUCAUUUAUGACCGUGGCCUUCAAUGUAGAGAAAAGUGUCUUUUUUUAUGGUAGUAGUGAAUGCAUCUAGGAAGCAGUAAGAGGCCAAUCAAGGUCUCAACAGAUGCUUCCACUGUGGUAGAGUAGAAGGGUUGCUACUAGCAGAAUGACUGCUCUUUAUGUCAUCCUGCUCAGCUGCUGAUAAAGAAGGGGAGAUGGGGAAAACAUGGGAAAAUUUCAGCUAAAUGGUGAAGAAAAAUGAUAGUGCUCCAGUGCUGUAAAGGAGACAUAGCUGUAAAAAUAAAGAAGGACUUAUCAGACCAUCUGUGUUCUUCCUGUUUGCACAGGUCGCAAGUGCUCAAAUUGUUCCCAGUUUACAUGCUCCUAUGCAAAUAUGCAGAUAAAGCAGGAUCAAAGGAUUUUGCCUUGCACUUAAAACAGAAGCCUUACACGGGGCACUGGGAGUGCAGAAGGAGUAUGCCCUGGAUGCCAGCCAAAUGAAAGAAGACAGCUGAGAGGGCUGCUGUUUUGCUUGUGCUUCAGAAUGGACCCACCACAGAGAAGUAAAUUGAGAAUAAAGAAAUGUGUCUUAUCUCAAGAUGAUAUGAAAAAGACUUCUGAAGUUAUCUUAAGGUUAUAGAUGGAAAAGCUUUGAAAAUACUGAGCAAGGCUCCUGCUUGCACCAGGUGAUGUAUUGCUGCCCCAGGGCUACCUGGAAGUUUCUUCUUCGGAGUAUCUAUCCUGUUUGCAUAUCAACUGCUCUAGGAGAAACUCCUAAAAACCUAUAUAGGAGGCCAAUGUGAAUUUAAAGUC